GGCUUCAACAACCCCGCUGGUUGGGCGCGGAUUUUGUUGAGACGUAGCUCCGCUACGUCUAACGCGCAGUGAACCGGCUGGAGCC
rnacentral:sRNA from 12 species